rnacentral:lncRNA from 1 species
UUUUCUUCUGUUGGAAAGUGUCCCUCCCAACCAAGGUGGUCAACAAUGGCGGCCAAAUCAGUGAAGCAUUCACACAACAAUGUCAAGAAGGAUGCCACCGUCCAACCCCAAAAGUCAAGCAUUCACACCUCCAUUCAAGGAAGACAACCAGUUGAUUGUGUUCCUUGCUUGUCCUAUAAAUAGAUGAGUUGAGGGAGGGUGAAAGUGUGCAACUUCAGUGCACUGAAGUGUACCAGCUAGAGAGCAUCAGAGGGUGCCUCUGGGCACCAGAGUGUGGUGAGGUUGUGAGAGCAAUUGUAUGAGAGCUCUGAGUGUGUGUGUGUGUGUGAGGCCAGAGAUAGAGAGUUGAGAGUGAUGUAAUUUGUUGUUAAAUGAUAAACAGAGUUUCUCCUUUGUGAACGUAGGCAUUCAAGCCGAACCACGUUAAAUCUUUGCCUCCUUUAUGUUCCUCGUCUCGCACCGGUCCCAACAACUGGUAUCAGAGCAAAGUUGGUGAUCGGAAGUGGCCAGAAUCGUGAAUCCCGAAAAUGACCCAUUUUCAGAAAUGCUCAGAAUCAGAUUCUGAGGGCCUUGUUGGAUUCAGAAGGUCGAGACGAGUCCGGAACAGGUCCCGGAAUCUCAAACGGGGUCCGGACGAAGCCACACUCUCCCCCACACUCCGGCAAGUGGCCAGAGAGUGAGCCCACUCUCAGCCACUCUCCACACUCGCGGCUGGAGGAAGAAGGCGAGUGAAGACCACUCUCAGAAGUGCUUUUCACGCACCAGAUGAUGCCAGCAUGACGUCAUCUUUCCGCGUGUACCAGUGAAAGCCUAACACGUGGCAGAACGUGUUUAUGAGAUAUUUUGGGCUUUUUUUGUCCGUUUUGAGCCCAUGAGGAAUUGAUCUUGAGGUUUUCGACCGUCCCGGAUGCAACGGUGUUGUCCGUUUGCUGUAAUUUCGCUCCGAUUUUUGUGAAUGAUCAGGUCAAAGCUUAUUAUAUCCAUUUUGAGUCAGACAGGAUAUGUCCUAAGGGUUCAGGAUCAUUCUGGACUCAAUGGCGGUUCUCAUUUGUUGUCAUUUCGCUCUGUACAAUGAGAAAAUGAAAUUGGAGGUGUAGAUCGAGGCUGAAUCAUUUGAGGAUUCAGAAUCCGGAGCGUUUGACAAGGUGACGACAACAUAUAGGCUUGUUUUGAAAGAUCUGCGAUGAAGAUCAGGUGGAUCUGAUCGGUGAAAGAGGCAGGAGGCCAGGAGAGAAAAUGAGACAGAGUGGUGGAAGUUUGUUAAACUCCCACUCGGUGCCGACACGACAAAAGGCGGUACGUGGACCCCAUGUGACGAGAUGCGGUGAGGAGAUGAGCCAUCGCAGAAUCUGUGGCACGAGAGACUCAUAGUCACGUGGGGAGAAGGGUUGUUAAAAUUAUUCAAUCCUUGUAAUUUUUAUUUCUUGAGUCUCAGCCCAUCUGUAAAAUCAGAGGUGUCAAAAACCUGGUACACUCUGAUUGUUGUAGGCCUUAGAGGGAUGCGAUAACAAUGACAAUGCUUCAGGUAUGUGAGAGUGUAAUGUUUGAAGAGGUGGAAUUCCUCCGCUCCACAACACAGUGGUGUAGCCAAGGGAACGUACAGACCAUUGUGAGCUAAUUCCAGAAGUGUGCUAGGCAUCAGCAAUGAUGCUUAGAUCAUUAUAAGGUGAAGCAUGUUACCAGAACAAUAUCCGAAAUGUGAAGUCUUGGGAUGGUGUGCUCAGGCCACAAGAGGUGCAAAGGUUUGCACAUGUAUAGUCCGUUGUGACUCACCUCUCUUUCGUGGGAACUUACUUGGUGAACUGCAUACAAGCUGAAGAGAGCCGAUGGUUAGUGCGACCAUGAUGUAACAGCUCCUUGUGUCGAAAGACUUCUUGGCAAUGUGAUAGCCAAGCGGUGUGACCCGUUGAGGUGCAACGGCGGUACAAGUACAAGUGUGGGUAAGUCUCCUACUACAAUGUAUGGAGUAGUCCCUUAUUGUUCAGCAUUAAAAAGCAGUAGCAUGGAUUCUCAUGUACUAGGAGGGUACACCAAAGACGUGCUUUGGAGAGAUGAUCUUGUCUUGGAAGAUUGUGCAGACUUAGAUAUAGAUAGAGAACCUGAUGGUAGAAAGUCUAAAUCAGGGGGAGCUUUGUCAUGUAGUCAAGAUUGCAAGCUUACCAUUAACUGAAGCUAAGCAUCGGCUGGUGCAGAAGCUGGAAAAGAGAUGUUGUGGUUGAAGCAGGUUUUCUUCAAGAGCUAAGGUUCAUUAGAGAAGGAGAAUCCAGAUGAAGAGGUGAAGAUAGUCCCUCGUGAAGAAACUCAGAGCUGUGCAGAGGCAUAGCCAGUAUGUCACUCUCUUGGUUGGUAUGGAGGGGGAGAUUGUUGGAAAAUGUCCCUCCCAACCAAGGUGGUCAACAUUGGUGGCCAAAUCAGUGAAGCAUUCACACAACAAUGUCAAGAAGGAUGCCACCGUCCAACCCCAAAAGUCAAGCAUUCACACCUCCAUUCAAGGAAGACAACCAGCUGAUUGUGUUCCUUGCUUCUCCUAUAAAUAGAUGAGUUGAGGGAGGGUGAAAGUGUGCAAGUUCAGUGCAUCGAAGUGUGCCAGCUAGAGAGCAUCAGAGGGUGCCUCUGGGCACCAAAGUGUGGUGAGGUUGUGAGAGCAAUUGUAUGAGAGCUCUAAGUGUGUGUGUGUGUGUGUGAGGC